rnacentral:rRNA from 1 species
ACGCUGGCGGCGUGCCUAACACAUGCAAGUCGAACGGACUGAAUCCCUUCGGGGAUGAAAGUUAGUGGCGGACGGGUGAGUAACGCGUGAGCAACCUGCCUUUCAGAGGGGAAUAACGUUUGGAAACAGACGCUAAUACCGCAUAACGCAUAGGAGUCGCAUGGCUUUUUAUGCCAAAGGAGCAAUCCGCUGAAAGAUGGGCUCGCGUCCGAUUAGAUAGUUGGUGGGGUAACGGCCUGCCAAGUCGACGAUCGGUAGCCGGACUGAGAGGUUGAACGGCCACAUUGGGACUGAGACACGGCCCAGACUCCUACGGGAGGCAGCAGUGGGGGAUAUUGCACAAUGGGCGAAAGCCUGAUGCCAGCAACGCCGCGUGAGGGAUGACGGUUUUCGGAUUGUAAACCUCUGUCUUUGGUGACGAAUUCAUGACGGUAGCCGAGGAGGAAGCCACGGCUAACUACGUGCCAGCAGCGGC